rnacentral:rRNA from 1 species
AGUGAACGCUGGCGGUAGGCCUAACACAUGCAAGUCGAACGGCAGCACAGUAAGAUCUUGCUCUUACGGGUGGCGAGUGGCGGACGGGUGAGGAAUACAUCGGAAUCUACUUUUUCGUGGGGGAUAACGUAGGGAAACUUACGCUAAUACCGCAUACGACCUACGGGUGAAAGCAGGGGAUCUUCGGACCUUUCGCGAUUGAAUGAGCCGAUGUCGGAUUAGCUAGUUGGCGGGGUAAAGGCCCACCAAGGCGACGAUCCGUAGCUGGUCUGAGAGGAUGAUCAGCCACACUGGAACUGAGACACGGUCCAGACUCCUACGGGAGGCAGCAGUGGGGAAUAUUGGACAAUGGGCGCAAGCCUGAUCCAGCCAUACCGCGUGGGUGAAGAAGGCCUUCGGGUUGUAAAGCCCUUUUGUUGGGAAAGAACAGCAGCAGGUUAAUACCCCGCUGUUCUGACGGUACCCAAAGAAUAAGCACCGGCUAACUUCGUG